AGCUCAGCACUGGGUGUAAAGCGUGCGCAGGUGGUUUUGUAAGACAGAGGUGAAAUCCCCGGGCUCAACCUGGGAACUGCCUUUGUGACUGCAAGGCUGGAGUGCGGCAGAGGGGGAUGGAAUUCCGCGUGUAGCAGUGAAAUGCGUAGAUAUGCGGAGGAACACCGAUGGCGAAGGCAAUCCCCUGGGCCUGCACUGACGCUCGUGCACGAAAGCGUGGGGAGCAAACA
rnacentral:rRNA from 1 species